GGAGACGUGGCUCAGUGGCAGAGCAUCUGCUUUGGAAGCUGAAGGUCCCAGGUUCAAUCCCCAGCAUCUCCA